rnacentral:rRNA from 1 species
UACGGAGGGUGCAAACGUUGCUCGGAAUCAUUGGGCGUAAAGCGCACGUAGGCGGCUCGUUAAGUCGGGUGUGAAAGCCCUCGGCUCAACCGAGGAAGUGCAUUCGAAACUGGCGAGCUUGAAUAUGGAAGAGGGUCGCGGAAUUCCCGGUGUAGAGGUGAAAUUCGUAGAUAUCGGGAGGAACACCAGUGGCGAAGGCGGCGACCUGGGCCAAUAUUGACGCUGAGGUGCGAAAGCGUGGGGGAGCAAACAGG